rnacentral:tRNA from 1 species
GCGCCUCUAGCUCAGCGGUAGAGCGCCGUCCUGAUAAGACGGAGGCCCCUGGCUCGAUUCCAGGGAGGCGCA